AUUGAACGCUGGCGGCAGGCCUAACACAUGCAAGUCGAGCGAGCGGCGGACGGGUGAGUAAUGUAUGGGGACUGCCCGAUAGAGGGGGAUAACUACUGGAAACGGUGGCUAAUACCGCAUACUAUCGGAUAACCCAUAUGGGAUUAGCUAGUAGGUGGGGUAAAGGCUCACCUAGGCGACGAUCUCUAGCUGGUCUGAGAGGAUGAACAGCCAAACUGGGACUGAGACAUGGCCCAAACUCAUACGGAGGCAGCAGUGGGGAAGAUUGAAAAAUGGGCGCAGUCCUGAUGCAGCCAGGCGGGGUGUAGGAAGAAGGCCUUAGGGUUGUAAAGUACUUUCAGCGGGGAGGCGUUACCCGCAGAAGAAGCACCGGCUAACUCCGUGCCAGCAGCCGCGGUAAUAC
rnacentral:rRNA from 1 species